CCAGAAGUGCUAGGUGCCUUUUCCUAUCAUUUUUUGUGACUGACGUUAAAUGCUUCUAUCUUCAAUCACUUUCCCUGGGAAUGCUGCACUUAGCUUUGAAAUUGCACAUUUUAAAAAACACACCGAGUAAUAUAUUUCUUUUAUCAAAGAUUUUCUGAAUGAAUCAUUCAAAAAGAAUCGGACACAAUGGCGGGAAUUUCAAGCAUUAAGUCAGCACAAGGAAGAACUGUUUGUACAACAGGGAUUUUUUGGCAUACUUCAAAGCACUCAGACUCAUUCUUGUCUGCCUGACUACUUGCAUUUUACCCUAGAUUAGUUCGUACCACACAGAACUAAGGAUGAAGUUCAUGAUUCAAUGCACUGAGGAAAGAACCUGAUUAAAAAGAGUGCCCUGAAGGCUAUGGGGUUGGUUCACUGUUGGGCCGGGAAAGAACACUUCAAAAGUACAGCUCUAGCUGGAAAUGGGUGGAAACUUUUCUAGCCUCUCGUAAUUGCAAUAUGGAAAUUGCACAGUGGACAGAAGGGCCGCAUUUGACUACUGAGUGGAGCAGUAUUUCAACGAGAGAGCAUCGAUACAAUCUUCUAGGCCAGAGAUGUCCUUGUGUCAGCCUGACCUACCAACCUUUGACUAUUUUGGAAGGCAUGUGGUUCACGAUCUAUGGAUAAGCCAAGUCUGAAAAAGUCUCCGCUGACACGAGCCUCUCAGAACAAUCUCCUUUACAAUACAUUUUAUUCUAAGAAACUCUCAGGCGGAUGAGGAGAAGGAAGUCUCUCCCUCAUGACUGGUACAAGCCACUGAGCCAACAAGGACUUAACCACUGCAUGGAGCUUCUCUGGAGAGAUCCCGAAGGCAACGAAAUGUAAUGCUGAGAGUAUAACUAGCCAGCUACGAAAAAAAGAAAAGAAAAAGAAAAAAAAGAGGAUUGAGCUAUUACAGAAGAUAUAUUUUCCUCUUCGGAAAGUACAAGUCUUUCGUUAAUAUAAGUUACACAAUGCUUCAUGCUCCCCCUCCGUUAUCCUUCCUUUGCUCCAACCAAAUUGUAUUUCCUCCACCCAGAUGUGGUUGGAAACAAAA